GAAAAAAGUUAUACAACGACUUACACAAGCAUCUACCUACAUUGUAAUUUCGCGUAGAUUACAUACGAAAUGAAACCCAGAACCACAUGGAAGAAAUCAUUGGCGAUGACAAUCACGAAUAGAUUUUAAUUCUCGUGACGGUAGCAGAAAAUUUUGCCUCUUCUUUGAAGCAGUUUUGUAGGCUGCUUGAAGGUUUCAGCGCAGGUGAGCUGCGAAGGUGCUGAGCCAAGUCCAGCGAACCAGCUCAUGGUUCUCGAGCAUUUCCUUCUCCCUCGUCAUAGAAACGCAUUGACCUUCAGGACAAAAUGCCGACGAUCAAUGCAAACGUUGCACCGUAUUAUCGUUAUUUGAGAAUAUAACCGGAAUUAUGCGAUUGCCUAACAACUAUCUAAACUAAUUGCAACAGCGUUUUACCCUUUGUGAAAUUUAAAACCAUGCUCAGGAACAGUCUGCUUCUUCAAUCCAAUAAAAAAAA